UACGGAGGGUGCAAGCGUUAUCCGGAUUUACUGGGUUUAAAGGGUGCGCAGGCGGAUAUGUAAGUCAGUGGUGAAAUCUCUGGGCUUAACCCGGAAAUUGCCAUUGAUACUAUAUAUCUUGAAUGCUGUGGAGGUAAGCGGAAUAUGUCAUGUAGCGGUGAAAUGCUUAGAGAUGACAUAGAACACCUAUUGCGAAGGCAGCUUACUACGCAGAGAUUGACGCUCAUGCACGAAAGCGUGGGUAGCAAACAGG
rnacentral:rRNA from 1 species